rnacentral:rRNA from 1 species
UACGAAGGGGGCUAGCGUUGCUCGGAAUCACUGGGCGUAAAGCGCACGUAGGCGGAUCUUUAAGUCAGGGGUGAAAUCCCGAGGCUCAACCUCGGAACUGCCCCUUGAUACUGGGGAUCUCGAGUCCGGAAGAGGUUGGUGGAACUCCGAGUGUAGAGGUGAAAUUCGUAGAUAUUCGGAAGAACACCAGUGGCGAAGGCGGCCAACUGGUCCGGCACUGACGCUGAGGUGCGAAAGCGUGGGGAGCAAACAGG